GAUGAACGCUGGCGGCGUGCCUAAUACAUGCAAGUCGAGCGAACAGACGAGGAGCUUGCUCCUCUGACGUUAGCGGCGGACGGGUGAGUAACACGUGGAUAACCUACCUAUAAGACUGGGAUAACUUCGGGAAACCGGAGCUAAUACCGGAUAAUAUAUUGAACCGCAUGGUUCAAUAGUGAAAGACGGUUUUGCUGUCACUUAUAGAUGGAUCCGCGCCGCAUUAGCUAGUUGGUAAGGUAACGGCUUACCAAGGCAACGAUGCGUAGCCGACCUGAGAGAGUGAUCGGCCACACUGGAACUGAGACACGGUCCAGACUCCUACGAGAGGCAGCAGUAGGGAAUGUUCCGCAAUGGGCGAAAGCCUGACGGAGCAACGCCGCGUGAGUGAUGAAGGUCUUCGGAUCGUAAAACUCUGUUAUUAGGGAAGAACAAAUGUGUAAGUAACUAUGCACGUCUUGACGGUACCUAAUCAGAAAGCCACGGCUAACUACGUG
rnacentral:rRNA from 1 species